GACGAACGCUGGCGGCGUGCUUAACACAUGCAAGUCGAACGAAGUGGAGAACGGGUGAGUAACGCGUAAUCAACCUGCCCUUCAGAGGGGGACAACAGUUGGAAAAGAAUGCUAAUCCCGCCUCCGGACGGAGGGGAUUGCGUCUGAUUAGGUAGUUGGAGGGGUAACGGCCCACCAAGGCGAUGACAAGUAGCCGGGCUGGGAGGAUGAACGGCCACAUUGGGACGGAGACACGGCCCAGACUCCUACGGUAGGCAGCAGUGGGGAAUCUUCCGCAAUGGACGAAAGUCUGACGGAGCAACGCCGCGUGAGUGAUGACGGCCUUCGGGUUGUAAAGCUCUGUUAAUCGGGACGCGGUACCGGAAUAGAAAGCCACGGCUAACUACGUGCCAGCAGCCGCGGUAAUUC
rnacentral:rRNA from 1 species